GCCGGGGUAGCUCAGGGGUAGAGCACUUCCUUGGUAAGGAAGGGGUCGCGAGUUCAAUUCUCGCUCUCGGCU
rnacentral:tRNA from 1 species